AUUGAACGCUGGCGGAAUGCUUUACACAUGCAAGUCGAACGGCAGCACGGACUUCGGUCUGGUGGCGAGUGGCGAACGGGUGAGUAAUGUAUCGGAACGUGCCCAGUCGUGGGGGAUAACGUAGUGAAAAUUACGCUAAUACCGCAUACGAUCUAUGGAUGAAAGCGGGGGAUCGCAAGACCUCGCGCGAUUGGAGCGGCCGAUAUCAGAUUAGGUAGUUGGUGGGGUAAAGGCCCACCAAGCCAACGAUCUGUAGCUGGUCUGAGAGGACGAGCAGCCACACUGGAGCUGAGACACUGUCCAGACUCCUACGGGAGGCAGCAGUGGGGAAUUUUGGACAAUGGCGAGAGCCUGAUCCAGCCAUUCCGCGUGCAGGAUGAAGGCCCUCGGGUUGUAAACUGCUUUUGUACAGAACGAAAAGGUUUCUACUAAUACUAGGAGCUCAUGACGGUACUGUAAGAAUAAGCACCGGCUAACUACGUGCCAGCCGCCGCGGUAA
rnacentral:rRNA from 1 species